GAUGAACGCUGGCGGCGUGCCUAAUACAUGCAAGUCGAGCGAACAGACGAGGAGCUUGCUCCUCUGACGUUAGCGGCGGACGGGUGAGUAACACGUGGAUAACCUACCUAUAAGACUGGGAUAACUUCGGGAAACCGGAGCUAAUACCGGAUAAUAUAUUGAACCGCAUGGUUCAAUAGUGAAAGACGGUUUUGCUGUCACUUAUAGAUGGAUCCGCGCCGCAUUAGCUAGUUGGUAAGGUAACGGCUUACCAAGGCAACGAUGCGUAGCCGACCUGAGAGGGUGAUCGGCCACACUGGAACUGAGACACGGUCCAUACUCCUACGGGAGGCAGCAGUAGGGAAUCUUCCGCAGUGGGCGAAAGCCUGACGGAGCAACGCCGCGUGAGUGAUGAAGGUCUUCGGAUCGUAAAACUCUGUUAUUAGGUAAGAACAAAUGUGUAAGUAACUAUGCACGUCUUGACGGUACCUAAUCAGAAAGCCACGGCUAACUACGUG
rnacentral:rRNA from 1 species